GUAUCCUUUAUUUCAUUUUGAUUUUUUAACAAUUCAAAAAGAGAAAAAGAAAAUUUAUUUUUAAAAAAAGAUAUCUACUAAUUAGUAAGAGGGGGGGGGGGUGACUUUGAGUCCAUUUAUUCCGUUAAACCGACUACUUCAUAACUGACGAUAUUUCUUGUUUUAGAAUGGCAGAUGGGCAGUGGCGCUGCUGCUGCCACCGCAAUUUACUUCAUCCCGCAGGGGACAGCAACAACCGAUUUAUUCUUUAAUUUUUUUUUUUCUUGCCGAAACGAAAGACAUCGUGUUGUACGGACGGCGGACGUCAUCAUCGCCAUCAAUAAUAACUAGCGCCACACAAAAGGGACAAGAUUGGCCGGGCAGCAGCUGACGUUCAACACGUUUUCCCACACAUCAAGAGUCUUUCUCAAGAAUAUUCCAAACAACACAACAAUAAGAAUCAUUUCUUGUUGUUGUUGUUGUUUUGCCAAUUUCUACGGGAAGCCCAUUCGUUUGGGUAACAGACUCGCUGGUGUGGGAGCAGCAAAACUGACGGUGCGCGAGAAAACGGCCAAUUACAAAAAAAAACGACGUCCCAAUCAUCGAAACGUUCCCAGUUUCCCAUGACACCACAAUGGAAAGAGCGUCCAAAUAACUGCGUUGCUGAUUCUCUGUCGUUGUUCAUUUGAUAACACGGGAUUAGCGCAAUUUUUUUUAGCUCAUCAUCCAGCUGAUUCCUGCACACACACACACAACAAAAACGGACAUUCUGCCCAUGUUUCUCUCUUGUUUGAUGCCACCCACAAUUGUUCGGAGGGCUCCAAACCGGACACGGCAUUUCGCCCUGGAGGGGGAUUUUACCUGUCUGUCUCUCUCUGUUUCGGCUAACGCCCUCCCACAUCCUUCACUUCAAUGUUACCACAUGGCCUGUGCUGGGCCAUCGUUCGUUACCCACAGCUGUGGGUGUUGUACCGUCAUAGGGAUUCGUCACGAACGCCCUCCCACCAUUCCCCGAAAUAAAAGAAAAAGUAGCCGAUUUUUCUUUUGUAUGUGUUGAUGUUGUUUGUUAUUUUUGCAGUUGCCAGUUGGAACGUCGUGCGAGACGGACGCGUGCAAGUGCAGCCCUCGAAAAUGUCAAUCCAGGUCAAACAUUUGGAAAUGAAUUUUGUUUCUCUGUUGGGGGAGGUAUCGUAUUUUCCUUAUGUAAAUUGAAAAGAAAAACGGACGAAGUGAUGAGAGAGGGACAUGGAGAUUGGACUGGCCACGAUCGGCCAGUGCGGCAUGGCCACACAAAGAAAAAGAAACAGCCAAUAGGCAAAUUUUGAUUUUUCAAUCUCUCAUUCCCACGCUAUGUUUCAUUCUGGUUUCGGACUUGGCGGCCAAAAACAAACGAACAAUCAAACAUACCCGAUUGCCCGGAAACAAACUAAAAAAAAAAUGAAUAAUAAUUGGUUUCCUGGAACGUCAUUCAUUCUGAUCGUUUACGUAAUUUAAAAAAAUUCCUAAGCCAAAAUUGAAAAAAAAAAUCGACGAGAGAUAACAAAAACGAACGACUAUGUGUCAAAGUAUAACAGGAAACGGCAGCGUUACGGCUUCCACCCCCCAGACUUUUUUAGUUCUUUUUGUGUGUGUGUGUGUGUGAGUUCUAUUCUCGUCUCUCUCUCUCUUGUUUUCCCUGUUACGAUUAGGACGAACCGAAAGCUUUUUUUUAACAGGAUCGACGGCCAAACAAAUUGCAGCCGGUAGGAAAUUGGGCGACCGAGAACACUCGUGACACCGUCAUCCGACUUAAUUGAUUCCAUUGCAAUAAUAAAAAAAUAAAAAAGAAAGAAAGAAAUAAUAAUACGUUCACAGCGGAAAUCGUCAAGGAUAACGAGCGCGUUGAUCGGAAUGCGAACGAAAGGGAAAGUAAAAGAAAAAGAUUUCAAAUCAUUAUUUAAAUGAGCUCACCUGCACUUGAUAGAGGUACUCGUCUUCGCUGCUGCUGCCAGAACUACUUUCACUACUCCUACUACUGGAAGAACGGUUGAUAUCGUGUCUCUAAAAAAAAAAAAAAGGGGGGACAAGAAAAAAGAAAAAUGAAUUCAUCGAAUAAAUAUGCAAAUUGAAACUGGGAGCGAAAUUUAAAAAAAAAAUAGUCAAUUCAUUAGAAAAAAAUACACUGGAAAAGGUUCUGUGUUCCUA
rnacentral:lncRNA from 1 species